rnacentral:rRNA from 1 species
AUUGAACGCUGGCGGAAUGCUUUACACAUGCAAGUCGAGCGGCAGCGCGGGGGCAACCCUGGCGGCGAGCGGCGAACGGGUGAGUAACAUAUCGGAACGUACCCUGUCGUGGGGGAUAACUAUCCGAAAGGAUAGCUAAUACCGCAUACGACCUGAGGGUGAAAGCGGGGGACCGCAAGGCCUCGCGCGAUAGGAGCGGCCGAUAUCGGAUUAGCUAGUUGGUGAGGUAAAGGCUCACCAAGGCGACGAUCCGUAGCGGGUCUGAGAGGACGACCCGCCACACUGGAACUGAGACACGGUCCAGACUCCUACGGGAGGCAGCAGUGGGGAAUAUUGGACAAUGGGCGCAAGCCUGAUCCAGCAAUGCCGCGUGAGUGAUGAAGGCCUCGGUUGUAAGACGUCUUCGUCCCACGACGACUGAUGACGGUAGU